GAUGAACGCUGGCGGCGUGCCUAAUACAUGCAAGUCGAGCGAACGGACGAGAAGCUUGCUUCUCUGAUGUUAGCGGCGGACGGGUGAGUAACACGUGGAUAACCUACCUAUAAGACUGGGAUAACUUCGGGAAACCGGAGCUAAUACCGGAUAAUAUUUUGAACCACAUGGUUCAAAAGUGAAAGACGGUCUUGCUGUCACUUAUAGAUGGAUCCGCGCUGCAUUAGCUAGUUGGUAAGGUAACGGCUUACCAAGGCAACGAUGCAUAGCCGACCUGAGAGGGUGAUCGGCCACACUGGAACUGAGACACGGUCCAGACUCCUACGGGAGGCAGCAGUAGGGAAUCUUCCGCAAUGGGCGAAAGCCUGACGGAGCAACGCCGCGUGAGUGAUGAAGGUCUUCGGAUCGUAAAACUCUGUUAUUAGGGAAGAACAUAUGUGUAAGUAACUGUGCACAUCUUGGCGGUACCUAAUCAGAAAGCCACGGCUAACUACGUG
rnacentral:rRNA from 1 species